rnacentral:lncRNA from 1 species
CCUGAAGGUAACAAUAUAGGGAUUUCACAGAAAAAUCCCAUAUUUCUCCAUCGUCCACUGUUUAUAAUCAUCCCGACCCCCCACUUUUAAUUCAGAUUAAAAUCAGACAUUUCUUUUUCCUCCUUUGUUUCCUUUUAUGUGGAUACCUUAUCGUCCAUUCUUUGUCUUCUCCUUCCUUUCUUAUUAGUAUCUCGUUUCUAUUAGGAAAAAAAAAAAGAAUUUUAUUCACCAUUACAUAGUGGAAAGAUAAAUUUAAUGGCUUAUAAGUAGACAGUUGAGGUUUACUUUUUCCAGAGUCAAAUUGCCCAAGCACAACAAAUAAAUUGGCACAGAAUCAUGGGAAUCACCUACGUCCAUCACCAAAUCAUUGAGUCAAGAUGCCGUAAAACAAAAUUAAUUUUUAACCAUUACUAUGAUUCUACUGUAAAAUCACAGGAUCACCCCUGCACAACCAACACAGAUUUCAUAAGAAUAGAACCAAAUUGAACCAAAAACAUGUUAUAUUCAAAAAUAUAAAACCAAAAACAUGUCCAGGCAGAAGAUAAUGAGAGAAAGAGAGAGCAACUGAA